rnacentral:rRNA from 1 species
GAUGAACGCUAGCGGCAGGCUUAAUACAUGCAAGUCGAGGGGUAUAGAAAGCUUGCUUUCUAGAGACCGGCAAACGGGUGCGGAACACGUACACAACCUACCUUUAUCAGGGGGAUAGCCUUCGGAAACGGAGAUUAAUACCCCAUAGUAUUAUGGAGUGGCAUCAUUUUAUAAUUAAAGAAUUUCGGAUAGAGAUGGGUGUGCGUAAGAUUAGCUAGUUGGUGAGGUAAAGGCUCACCAAGGCAACGAUCUUUAGCUGAUGUGAGAGCAUGAUCAGCCACACGGGCACUGAGACACGGGCCCGACUCCUACGGGAGGCAGCAGUGAGGAAUAUUGGUCAAUGGACGGAAGUCUGAACCAGCCAUGCCGCGUGAAGGAUGAAGGCGUUCUGCGUUGUAGACUUCUUUUAUUUAGGAAGAAACCACUUUUUUUUAAGAGUGUUGACGGUAUUAAAUGAAUAAGCACCGGCUAACUCCGUGCCAGCCGCCGCGGUAAUAC